CCUACGGGAGGCAGCAGUGGGGAAUAUUGCACAAUGGGCGAAAGCCUGAUGCAGCAACGCCGCGUGAGCGAUGAAGGCCUUCGGGUCGUAAAGCUCUGUCCUCAAGGAAGAUAAUGACGGUACCUGAGGAGGAAGCCCCGGCUAACUACGUGCCAGCAGCCGCGGUAAUACGUAGGGGGCUAGCGUUAUCCGGAUUUACUGGGCGUAAAGGGUGCGCAGGUGGUUUUUAAAGUCAGAGGUGAAAGGCUAGGGCUCAACCGUAGUAAGCCUUUGAAACUGGGUAGCUUGAGUGCAGGAGGGGAGGGUGGAAUUCCUGGUGUAGCGGUGAAAUGCGUAGAUAUUAGGAGGAACACCAGUUGCGAAGGCGGCUCUCUGGACUGUAACUGACGCUGAGGCACGAAAGCGUGGGGAGCAAACAGGAUUAGAUACCCCAGUAGUC
rnacentral:rRNA from 1 species